UACAAACUUAACAGACCAGAAGUGUGAUAGGAGCUCCUGAAACCAGUCCCUUGGUCUGUUCUGACUUUCAUGGAACAAGUAUUCAUUGAGUAGAAUUGAGAAAGGGAAAGUGUUUGAAUAUGGUUCACCAUCCAUUAGGUAAGUAUAUUCAUCUUGUUUUUGGUGGGGUUUUUUUCACCGCAUCAGUACCUCAUUUUCUUAAUAAUGAGGCAGAGCAUUGCAUAUAUGAAAAAUCUUCACAGUAG
rnacentral:lncRNA from 1 species